UUAGCCUACGGGACGCAGCAGUGGGGAAUAUUGCCCAAUGGGGGGAACCCUGAUGCAGCGACGCCGCGUGAGUGAAGAAGUAUUUCGGUAUGUAAAGCUCUAUCAGCAGGGAAGAUAACGACGGUACCUGACUAAGAAGCCCCGGCUAACUACGUGCCAGCAGCCGCGGUAAUACGUAGGGGGCAAGCGUUAUCCGGAUUUACUGGGUGUAAAGCGAGUGCAGGCGGUUCCAUAAGU
rnacentral:rRNA from 1 species